rnacentral:rRNA from 1 species
UACGAAGGGGGGCUAGCGUUGUUCGGAAUUACUGGGCGUAAAGCGCACGUAGGCGGAUAUUUAAGUCAGGGGGUGAAAUCCCGGGGCUCAACCCCGGAACUGCCUUUGAUACUGGGUAUCUCGAGUCCGAGAGAGGUGAGUGGAAUUCCGAGUGUAGAGGUGAAAUUCGUAGAUAUUCGCAGGAACACCAGUGGCGAAGGCGGCUCACUGGCCCGGUACUGACGCUGAGGUGCGAAAGCGUGGGGAGCAAACAGG